UAGGGAAUCUUCCGCAAUGGACGCAAGUCUGACGGAGCAACGCUGCGUGAGUGAAGAAGGUUUUCGGAUCGUAAAACUCUGUUGUUAGAGAAGAACAAGUGCUAGAGUAACUGUUAGCGCCUUGACGGUAUCUAACCAGAAAGCCACGGCUAACUACGUGCCAGCAGCCGCGGUAAUACGUAGGUGGCAAGCGUUGUCCGGAUUUAUUGGGCGUAAAGCGAGCGCAGGCGGUUCCUUAAGUCUGAUGUGAAAGCCCCCGGCUCAACCGGGGAGGGUCAUUGGAAACUGGGGAACUUGAGUGCAGAAGAGGAGAGUGGAAUUCCAUGUGUAGCGGUGAAAUGCGUAGAUAUAUGGAGGAACACCAGUGGCGAAGGCGACUCUCUGGUCUGUAACUGACGCUGAGGCUCGAAAGCGUGGGUAGCAAACAGGAUUAGAUACCCUGGUAGUCCACGCCGUAAACGAUGAGUGCUAAGUGUUGGAGGGUUUCCGCCCUUCAGUGCUGCAGUUAACGCAUUAAGCACUCCGCCUGGGGAGUACNACCGCAAGGUU
rnacentral:rRNA from 1 species